rnacentral:rRNA from 1 species
GACGAACGCUGGCGGCGUGCUUAACACAUGCAAGUCGAGCGGGAAACUUCGGUUUCCAGCGGCGGACGGGUGAGUAACACGUGGGCAACCUGCCUCACAAUAAGGGAUAGCCUUCCGAAAGGAAGAUUAAUACCUCAUAAUACAAGAGAAACGCAUGUUUCUCUUGCCAAAGAAUUUCGUUGUGAGAUGGGCCCGCGGCGCAUUAGCUUGUUGGUGAGGUAACGGCUCACCAAGGCUGCGAUGCGUAGCCGACCUGAGAGGGUGAUCGGCCACAUUGGAACUGAGACACGGUCCAGACUCCUACGGGAGGCAGCAGUGGGGAAUAUUGCACAAUGGAGGAAACUCUGAUGCAGCAACGUCGCGUGAGUGAUGAAGGUCUUCGGAUUGUAAAGCUCUGUCUUCUGGGACGAUAAUGACGGUACCAGAGGAGGAAGCCACGGCUAACUACGUGCCAGCCGCCGCGGUAA